rnacentral:pre_miRNA from 1 species
AUAUAAAUCACUUGGGAACCUGGUUAAAAGACAGAUUCUGAUUCAAUAGAUUUGGAAUGGGGCCUGAGCUUCUUCAUUUACAGGCUCAUAAGUGAUGCUGAU